CCUGUCUAGAACUCUAUCCACUCUCUCAGCAACCAAAGACUCAACUGAGAUUGCGAUCUCAAUCUCUCAAACUUGAGAAUACUUACCCAAACCUAGUCUCUCCUUCAACCCAGGAAUCAUUUGCAUUCGCGUCCGGCUCUAUGGAGCUGUCCAACAACCACUCAAAAGAUUAGAGGAAGCUUGACUAUUUUCGAUUGGGUUAUUGGCCGGGAUUCAGACUUGUACUGUUGCUUGUUAUAGCAUUGCUGUUGGAGGAGGGUUUGGGUCUUACUAGUUGGGUUUGAACAGGAAGACUUAUGAAAUUCUUCACAGUUUGAGCCUCAUCUCUGGUACUUCAUUAUUGGUCUCAUUUAUUCCGCCCUCUCUUUGUUUGGGUAAGUUAGAUUUUCAUUCUUCUACUUAAAUCUCGAGCAACCUUUCUGGGAAAACUAAAAUCAAUUUCACUUCUAUCUGUUUUGGGGUAUUCUCCUCUUGUAAUACCUCUUUGUUUCUCAUGGUUUCUAUGUUAUAAUGAGCAUAUGGCUUAUCGAAUUGUUCAAUUUCUACUCAAAAUGAGGGUUUGUAGUAGUAAUUUUGGAUUUUACUUCAAUUUCUUUAAAUUCUGCACUCUUUCAUGUAGAACAUAUUUUACCUCUUUCUGCAUUUUUGGGGUUUCUUAUUAGUCUUUCUAUUAUCUUGAU